rnacentral:rRNA from 1 species
UGGGGAAUUUUGCACAAUGGGGGAAACCCUGAUGCAGCGACGCCGCGUGAUUUAGAAGGCCUUCGGGUUGUAAAAAUCUUUUCUAUGGGAAGAAAAUGACAGUACCAUAGGAAUAAGGACCGGCUAAUUCCGUGCCAGCAGCCGCGGUAAUACGGAAGGUUCGGGCGUUAUCCGGAUUUAUUGGGUUUAAAGGGAGCGUAGGCCGUUUGGUAAGCGUGUUGUGAAAUGUAGGAGCUCAACUUCUAGAUUGCAGCGCGAACUGUCAGACUUGAGUGCGCACAACGUAGGCGGAAUUCAUGGUGUAGCGGUGAAAUGCUUAGAUAUCAUGAAGAACUCCGAUUGCGAAGGCAGCUUACGGGAGCGCAACUGACGCUGAAGCUCGAAGGUGCGGGUAUCGAACAGG